AGAGUUUGAUUCUGGCUCAGGAUGAACGCUGGCGGCGUGCUUAACACAUGCAAGUCGAACGAGGUCCAACCUUCGGGUGAAGACCGAGUGGCGAACGGGUGAGUAACACGUGGGGAACCUGCCCUUCUCUCUGGGAUAACCUCGGGAAACCGAAGCUAAUACCGGAUACUCCUUGCGGACCGCAUGGUCUGCUCGGGAAAGCUCCGGCGGAGAAGGAUGGCCCCGCGGCCCAUUAGCUUGUUGGUGGGGUAACGGCCCACCAAGGCGACGAUGGGUAGCCGAGCUGAGAGGCUGAUCGGCCACACUGGGACUGAGACACGGCCCAGACUCCUACGGGAGGCAGCAGUGGGGAAUCUUGCGCAAUGGGCGAAAGCCUGACGCAGCAACGCCGCGUGCGGGAUGAAGGCUCUCGGGUCGUAAACCGCUUUCAGCAGGGAUGAAAAUGACAGUACCUGCAGAAGGAGCCCCGGCUAAAUACGUGCCAGCGGCCGCGGUAAUACGUAUGGGGCAAGCGUUAUCCGGAUUCAUUGGGCGUAAAGCGCGCGUAGGCGGCUUGUUAAGUCAGGCGUGAAAUCCGGGGGCUCAACCCGCGGCUUGCGUCUGAAACUGGCAGGCUUGAGUCUGGUAGAGGAAAGUGGAAUUCCUGGUGUAGCGGUGAAUGCGCAGAUAUCAGGAGGAACACCAGUGGCGAAGGCGGCUUUCUGGGCCACGACUGACGCUGAGGCGCGAAAGCUAGGGGAGCGAACAGGAUUAGAUACCCUGGUAGUC
rnacentral:rRNA from 1 species